rnacentral:rRNA from 1 species
UACGGGGGGGGCAAGCGUUGUUCGGAAUUACUGGGCGUAAAGGGCUCGUAGGCGGCCAACUAAGUCGGAUGUGAAAUCCCCAGGCUCAACCUGGGAACUGCAUCCGAUACUGGAUGGCUUGAAUUCGGGAGAGGGAUGCAGAAUUCCAGGUGUAGCGGUGAAAUGCGUAGAUAUCGGGAGGAACACCUGUGGCGAAAGCGGCGCACUGGACCAUAACUGACGCUGAGGCGCGAAAGCUAGGGGAGCAAACAGG